rnacentral:lncRNA from 10 species
CCGUUCUGGGCUUCUGGCUGCAUUCUAGGAAGAUCAUUCCUUAAAAGAAAUAGCCAUAUGGCUUAUAAGAUGGAGUCUCACUCUUGUCACCCAGGCUGCAGUGCAAUGGUGCGAUCUCGGCUCACUGCGACCUCUGCCUCCCGGGUUCAAGUGAUUCUUCUGCCUCAGCCUCCCAAGUAGCUGGGAUUACAGCUUCCCUGGCUCCAGGCCCAUACAUUGAACUGCAUAUGGAACAGUUCUCUUCUAGAUGACCUGCGGGCAUCUUCAUCUUAGGACUAUAUCUUAAGACUAUGUGUCUUCUGCAGUUCUUUGCAUAGAGUCAACGUUGAAGGACAAGCAACUUCAAAUUUCCAAGCAACAAAAUUAUGUUCGGGUGGUUUUCUGAAAGCGAGAUCUUAAGAACCACCUGUAUCAGAAUCCCAUGAAGAGCUUGUUUAGUGUGCAAAUUUACAGAUUGUCCCCCCUCAGAAAUGCUCAUUUAGGAGUUCCUGUCCUUUGCGGGGACAUGGAUGAAGCUGGAAACCAUCAUUCUCAGCAAACUAACACAGGAACAGAAAACCAAACACUGCAUGUUCUCACUCAAAAGUGGGAGUUGAACAAUGAGAACACAUGGACACAGGGAGGGGAACGUCACACACCAGGGCCUGUCGGGGGUGGGAGGUAAGGGGAGGGAGAGGAUUAGGACAAAUACCUAAUGCAUGUGGGGCUUAAAACCUAGAUGAUGGGUUGAUAGGUGCAGCAAACCACCAUGGACAUGUAUACCUAUGUAACAAACUUGCAUGUUCAGUA